rnacentral:rRNA from 1 species
CAGUCGCCACGGUAAUACGUAGGGUGCAAGCGUUAAUCGGAAUUACUGGGCGUAAAGCGUGCGCAGGCGGUUCCGCAAGUCAGAUGUGAAAUCCCCGGGCUCAACCUGGGAACUGCAUUUGAAACUACGGGGCUAGAGUGUGUCAGAGGGGGGUGGAAUUCCACGUGUAGCAGUGAAAUGCGUAGAGAUGUGGAGGAACACCAAUGGCGAAGGCAGCCCCCUGGGAUGACACUGACGCUCAUGCACGAAAGCGUGGGGAGCAAACAGGAUUAGAUACCCGCGUAGUCCCUGUCUCUUAUAC